CGUACACUCCUACGGGAGGCAGCAGUAGGGAAUCUUCCACAAUGGGUGCAAACCUGAUGGAGCAAUGCCGCGUGAGUGAAGAAGGUCUUCGGAUCGUAAAGCUCUGUUGUUAGAGAAGAACACGUGCUAGGUAACUACUAGCGCCUUGACGGUAUCUAACCAGAAAGUCACGGCUAACUACGUGCCAGCAGCCGCGGUAAUACGUAGGUGACAAGCGUUGUCCGGAUUUAUUGGGCGUAAAGGGAGCGCAGGCGGUCUGUUUAGUCUAAUGUGAAAGCCCACGGCUUAACCGUGGAACGGCAUUGGAAACUGACAGACUUGAAUGUAGAAGAGGAAAAUGGAAUUCCAAGUGUAGCGGUGGAAUGCGUAGAUAUUUGGAGGAACACCAGUGGCGAAGGCGAUUUUCUGGUCUAACAUUGACGCUGAGGCUCGAAAGCGUGGGGAGCGAACAGGAUUAGAAACCCUGGUAGUCCCAUG
rnacentral:rRNA from 1 species